rnacentral:rRNA from 1 species
UUGCCAGACUCCUACGGGAGGCAGCAGUGGGGAAUAUUGCGCAAUGGGCGAAAGCCUGACGCAGCGACGCCGCGUGAGGGAUGAAGGUCUUCGGAUCGUAAACCUCUGUCAGCAGGGAAGAACGGUCACUGUGCUAAUCAGCAGUGAAUUGACGGUACCUGAGUAAGAAGCUCCGGCUAAAUACGUGCCAGCAGCCGCGGUAAUACGUAUGGAGCAAGCGUUAUCCGGAUUUACUGGGUGUAAAGGGAGCGUAGGCGGCCUGCCAAGUCUGAUGUGAAAUACCGGGGCUCAGCCCCGGGGCUGCAUUGGAAACUGGCAGGCUGGAGUGUCGGAGAGGCAGGCGGAAUUCCUAGUGUAGCGGUGAAAUGCGUAGAUAUUAGGAGGAACACCAGUGGCGAAGGCGGCCUGCUGGACGAUGACUGACGCUGAGGCUCGAAAGCGUGGGGAGCAAACAGGAUUAGAUACCCCCGUAAA